CAGUAGCCGCGGGAAUACGGAGGGUGCGAGCGUUAAUCGGAACUACUGGGCGUAAAGCGUGCGUAAGCGGUUCGUUAAGUCUGUUGUGAAAGCCCCGGGCUCAACCUGGGAAUGGCAAUGGAUACUGGCGAGCUAGAGUGUGUCAGAGGAUGGUGGAAUUCCCGGUGUAGCGGUGAAAUGCGUAGAGAUCGGGAGGAACAUCAGUGGCGAAGGCGGCCAUCUGGGACAACACUGACGCUGAGGCACGAAAGCGUGGGGAGCAAACAGGAUUAGAUACCCGGGUAGUCCCUGUCUCUUAUAC
rnacentral:rRNA from 1 species